rnacentral:rRNA from 1 species
UACGUAGGGUGCAAGCGUUGUCCGGAAUUAUUGGGCGUAAAGAGCUCGUAGGCGGUUCGUCGCGUCGGCUGUGAAAUCCCGAGGCUCAACCUCGGGUCUGCAGUCGAUACGGGCGGACUGGAGUUCGGCAGGGGAGACUGGAAUUCCUGGUGUAGCGGUGAAAUGCGCAGAUAUCAGGAGGAACACCGGUGGCGAAGGCAGCUCGCUGGCCCGGUACUGACGCUGAGGUGCGAAAGCGUGGGGAGCAAACAGG